rnacentral:misc_RNA from 1 species
AAGUCGUAACAAGGUUUCCGUAGGUGAACCUGCGGAAGGAUCAUUAACACGUAUCCAACGUUAAACCCCCCUGUGAACUUUUACACUUGCUCUCGAAGCUCGCCGGAAUUGCAAUCCCUGGUAAAUCAUUGUUGAACAGAUUUUGAUUCAGGGACCUCAGUUUGGUGAGUUAGAUCCGAGCGAUCGUUGCAAGUGGCCUGGUUUCCCCAAGCAGUCAGUGUCUGAAAGUGUCAUUGAUUGUGUAAGGAUCUCGCCUCAACGAUUGCCAGAGGUCGCUCACCGACCGGCAGACAUGCAACCGGGUCCCCACGCCCCUUUACAACCCCAUUACCUCUGUGAGUCGCGGGAAACUAGCGGCUAAAAAACCUCGAACAACUGUUAACAAUGGAUAUCUUGGUUCUG